rnacentral:tRNA from 1 species
AAGAAGUUAGUAUAAUAAAUUAUUUUUGGUUGUCGGCCAAUAGAAGAGAAAUUUCUCACUUCUUA